rnacentral:lncRNA from 1 species
UUUAAUGUAAUGUUAUUUACUCUUUCACGUUCUGCAGGACCUCAUUAGAAGGAUGAGAGAUGAGUUCCAGCCAUGCAUGUAUGUUAAUAAUAGGCAGUACAAACAAGAUUAUAAUAAGAGAAUCCUGCAUGAUACGUAGGGAAUUAGAGCCAGGAGUCCAUGUAUAAAAGCAGGCACGUACUGGGUGAAAGCGAGUGCUUGUAAGUCUUUGCAGAAGAGGAACCACAAAGGUAGAUGCUGAGUCAAACUCUUCAAGCUUGCUAAAAAUUAGUGGCAAUCCAAACAGUAAAGUGAAAUCCAGGAGUCCUCUGAGCCACUGUAGGCUCAUUUUCACUCUCUUAGAACUUUGUCCUUGAAAUUCCUUUUGGAAGAAACUUAAACCAAAACAGAUUUACUGCUCUGGGGUUGUGAGACAGUAGAAAAAUGCAGUUUGUCUCCAAAAUGGAUUGUUCUGAAUCCCCUGCACACAUGUGAUGCUCAAAGUGUGAACAGAAGGACCUUUGACAGGACUUGUAAUUGUGCAUUUUAAAGUAGCUGCUGCUUUUAAGCCUUCCUAAAGAAUCCAGGAAUUCCAAGAUGUUUUUCAUGUGGCACAAGUACUCUUUUCUUACUAUUUAAACAGGAGGACUUUCCUUAGAGACCAAUCUUCAGGGAAACACUUCAGCACGUGUGUAAAUUUAAAGAGUAUUUAUCUCCCAUUGAAGUCCGUGGAGCUUGAGAGGUACCUAAAAGUAAACAGGGGUUUAAGAGUUUUCUUUACACAUCAGGGCCAUGAUGUCUAAUACAUGUGAAGUCUUUUAGAGAACUGCAAAAGGCAAAAUACACGAUGAAAAGACUGAAUGAAAAUAGAUGAAAGAGAGGAAUAAGCUGUGUCCACUACUAUUACACAACUUCUUAUCAGUAUUUCCAGCAGGUGCCAGUCUCUAAAGAUAAGUACACCAUUCAGCUGCUAGUUUGGGAUGCUGUAUUUUUUGCCUGUAUAUUGGCAGUAUACAUUAAAUGAUGGAAGUGUGCAGUGCGUGGUGUCGUGGUUCAGUCCAGCGUAUCAAACCCCUGUGCAUCACAACAGAUGCUGUUACAAUGCUGUUAUUUCUGUGGGAUACAAAUCCAGGACAGAAAACUUCAAAACAAAUAAUAACAGAAAACUAUUUACACAGAGACAAAAUCACUUUGAGGUUUUAAAUGACCUGUACUUUCCCUCCAAAGUGCCAGUGAUUCCUACCCCUAGUAACUUCCUAGCAAAACCACUGGAACUAGUGUAUUUUCAUCUUUUAUGUAGAUGAUUAUUUAGGAAUACAUUAAAAUCUGCACCAAAAUGUACUGGUCAUACAAAGUUAAGGUUACAAACGUCUUCAUUCUGCCAAAAUGCAUCUUAAGAGGAAGAGAGUUGACAAACUUGUCAGCAUUUUGUACUGACAUUGUAUAAUUUUCAGGAGACAUUUUAACUGCGUAGCAGCCACAGCCAGAAACUGGGUGGCAGACUCGCCAGGAUGAAGCAACACUGGGCUGGACUUGCAAGGAUGGAGUUGGAAUUGGCUAGGAAAGGCUGUCCAGCCUGGGAGCUGCAGAAGGAAACACAGCAGGUAUGGUUCUGGGACUGGCUGAGAAACUAGGGGAAGGUGGGAAUGGUUUGGCAUGAAAAUCAAGAGGAUGCAGGGUAGGGAUAGGAACAAGGAGAAAAGGGAGAAAGAUGAAACAGCCUGAGCAAAUACACUGAAUCAAGGAGGGUGAGCAGGGAACAUGAAAUCACAAAAUGGCCACAGGCUGGGAGCUGGGACAGGGAAUUGGAGUGAGGGUGUACAGCUUGAGUGCAAUGGUGGUGGGGGUUCAAUGUGUGAGAGAACAGAGAUGGAGCUGAAGGAGAGCAAGGAAGGGAGAAUUUGGUCUGGGAGGAGUUAUGUGAAAGUAGGAGUCAAGGAGUGUCGUAGAUAAAUAAAGCUAGUCUUUUGUACUCCUUCCUUCACCAAAAUGUCUGGGUAGGUUUUUGCGUAAAACAAGUAACACCCACAACUUUGCCUGGGUAAUAGGAGGGGACCUUUCUCUGAGUUGGAACUAGACUGAGUCUUUUGGACUUCUAGUCCGUGCUUUUAGGGGGAUUGGAAAGAAACAUUUCUUCUUUGGUCAGAGUCCAUUUGGAGUUUGGUGAUAAACAGUCAUUAUCUCUUGUUGUGGAAAACUUUUCUGUUUCUGAAAGAUAUCUGCAAUGUUGCUUAGAAGCAGUCAUACUCCAGGCUCACUUGUUCUUCUCUGGCCAGAUAACCUCAGAACAGGCCCACUUCAUCUGCUCUGCUAUGUUUUGUUCUGGGGCUUGUAACCUGUGCUGCUGUUGCUUGUGGAUCUUCACCCAGCCUGUGAUGUUCCUGGGGCUGAUCCCUUAGCUCUUUGACCAACAGGGCCAGUGCCUCACACCCGUUAAGCUGACCAGGAGCUAUUUGGAGGACUUCAUCUUGAAGCCUUAGCUCCAAGGAGAAUUUAUUCUUUGUAUUUUCAGCUUGAUAACAGUGAAUUGAACUAACCCAACCUGAUGUGAGGAAGGCCUGGCCUUGCUGUGCCCAGAGUCUCCUGGGCAAGUUGAGAGCUUCCCAACAAAGGGAAGGUGAUAGAGAGUAGUCUGGAAAACGUGUGCUGCUUGGACAGCCCAAACGAGUAUCAGCUGUGGAACUCUGCCUCAUUUUGCUGCAUGAGGUCUGUGAACUUUCUGUGCAAGGUGCUAAAAACAUCUCUGACAACUUCUGAUGUGGAUGUUCUUCUUUUCUAUCCAGUAUCACUUAUUUGGCUCCAAUCCGGACCAGCUGUUUUCCAUCCUAAUCUUCUUUCCCGUGGCAAUCU